UGGGCAACCUGCCCUUAGCUUUGGGAUAACCCUCGGAAACGGGGGCUAAUACCGGAUAUGACGACUCACCGCAUGGUGUGGUUGUGGAAAGUUUUUCGGUCUGGGAUGGGCUCGCGGCCUAUCAGCUUGUUGGUGGGGUGAUGGCCUACCAAGGCGACGACGGGUAGCCGGCCUGAGAGGGCGACCGGCCACACUGGGACUGAGACACGGCCCAGACUCCUACGGGAGGCA
rnacentral:rRNA from 1 species